CUGCAGAAUAUUGUUUACUUUCACACAUUUAAAUCCAUCAAUAUGAUCAGUUUGCCUUUUAAAUUUAUCAUUUUUGUCUGUUAUCUUUCAGGCUCUACAGUUUGCAAAGAUGUUCAUCAAGCCCCUCCUGAUGUACUGUGUCUACCUGAGAAGAGUGUCAACCUCACCUGCAGCCAUAAGAUCACAAACUAUGACACAAUACUGUGGUAUCAGGGAGCACAUGGAAACAACAGCCUGAAACUCAUUGGUUAUGUUAGAAGCAGCAGUCCUAGCAUAGAAAAAGGAUAUGAAAAUCAAUAUAAGAUGACUGGAAAUGGACAAUCUUUAGUUUCUCUACUUUUCCAAGCAAGACAAGUUGUGGACAGUGUUGUGUACUUCUGUGCAGCUUCGGGGACACAAGCAUAUUUUGGAGCAGGCACAAAACUCACCGUUUUAGAUCCUAAUGCUAAAAUCACACCUCCAGCUGUCAAGAUACUGGGACCUAACCUUGCUGAAAAGUGUAAGAAUGGAAGAGUCACAGUGGUGUGUGUGGCUACUGGCUUUUACCCUGACCAUGUGGAAGUGUUCUGGCAAAUUAAUGGACUGAAUCAAAUUGAAGGAGUGGCAACAGACAAUGCUGCCAGAAAGAAAAGUACAACAGAAUCCUCAUACAAAAUCAGCAGCAGGCUGACCACCACUUACAAAGAAUGGAACAAAGGCUCACAGUACACUUGCACUGUCACUUUCUUUAAUGGGACAGCAAAGUCGAAGCAUUCAGACUCCAUAACUGGACCUCAAGGCCUCAGAGGACAAUACCUUAAAAAUACCAGAAUAACAAUGUUGGCUUAUGGUAUAUUCAUCUGCAAAAGUUUUGUGUAUGGCCUUUUCAUCAUGUUCAUCAUAAAGAGACAGGGUUUCAUAUCAAAGUGAAGGAGCUCAGACUGGUGGUAUUCUGAGACCUGCCAUUCUAUCAUGUGACAGAGGAGGAUGCACCAAUGACAUGGAUAUUUUCAGCCUUUUGGGUUCUGUGUAUGAAAGCAUAAUUAUUACAAUGUGCUGUACUAAUACAUGCAACUUGGUAACAAUGCACUCUGUGUUAUGCAGUUUAUUGUGUAGUUUGCCUGAACCUUUGCUUUCUUACUAUACACCUCUCUUAUUGAACAAUGUUAACUUUAUGUUGCUUUAUUUGACGCAUUGCGCAAAUAGGAAGUCUGAUAUCUUAUGUGUUGCAGUAUACAAUAUUGAAGCUUGUAAUGUCUCACUAUUUAGAUUUUUUUAAUAACAGUAGAUUUAAAUACAUGUGUUUAUUUCAAGGACAAUAAAGAUAAAUGAUGUUUGAAGGAUUA